ACCUAUUCUCGGGGCAGGGUGAAAUUCCCGACCGGCGGUGACUCCGCAACAGUGGACAGCCCGCGAGCGCCUGCCGUGACACGGCAGGGUCAGCAGACCCGGUGAGACUCCGGGGCCGACGGUUAGAGUCCGGAUGACAGAGGAUAGGG
rnacentral:ncRNA from 2 species